AAAAAAAAGGCGAGAAAGCGCAGCCAUGCUUUGCAGAGGCUCCGGCGUCGCUCUCAUUGGCAGCAUCAGCUUGUCGCCAAACGGAGUCUUUGCUCGUCCGCCGCUCCACCGAGGACGGAACCGGGAAUACAAGCGACCGUCUCCGGUCAGAUGUACAGAGCUGCAGUGAAGUAUAAGAUUACACAGGUGAAGUGAGAGAGAGAGAGAGAGAAUUAAAAAAAAACCCUGCAGAGCACGGAUACAUACGAGCAGAGCGCGGUGCACCACCAUAUGGCGUGGAGCAGAUCCUGGUGCAUUGUUGGAUAACGGAGGACUUUUACGCUUUCUGCAGUUUUGGACGAAGGGAACAGAACAAACGGAGCCUUUUUAAUCUUCGGUAACGGCCUGGGACGUCUGAGCUUUUCGCCCGCAAAACUAAACCCGCUGGCAUUGCGUUAAAAAUAAUUUCUAUAACUUAACUUCUUUUUCUCCAAUUGCAUAUUCUUUUAGUUUCUUUUUUUUAUUUUUUUUUUACAAUAUAAGGUAAGCCUGCAACAGCCGGGAGAGGAUUUGAUCUCUUUGGACCCUGCCUGAUGUUUGGGAUUUCUUUAUUGUAUUUCCAUUUUUGGCUCAACUUGACAUGACGAUACAGUUUGUAGUCGCACAACAUAAAGGCCUCGAAGGCUGUAAGAUAAUGUGAUGAUAUUCAUAAUGACAGGUUUCAGGGAAAGCUUCGAUGUGUCUCUUUCUUACAGUCGAGUCAAUGCAGCUGGAGGACGAACACACAUGCAACCACAGACUCACACAGACACACACAGACGAGCGGGUUGUGUCUCUCCGUGUUCACAGCGGACCUUGAUUUAAUGUCUUACAAUUAAGGCACGCGGUGAAUGCCAAGAGAUGAUUCCUCUUUCCUCACGUGUCUGCAGAUCCAACACACGCAUUACACACACUACAUUAUAUUCUUUAAAAACACAGUGACGGUUUAGCUUUUGUCUGUUUUGACUGUAACGUGUAACCCUUGUACUGUUUCUCUACCCCCUUUCAGAAAAUAAAAUAAAUACACCACGA